AUUGAACGCUGGCGGCAUGCUUUACACAUGCAAGUCGAACGGUAACAGGCCUUCGGGCGCUGACGAGUGGCGAACGGGUGAGUAAUGCAUCGGAACGUGCCCAGUCGUGGGGGAUAACGCAGCGAAAGCUGCGCUAAUACCGCAUACGAUCUGUGGAUGAAAGCGGGGGACCGUAAGGCCUCGCGCGAUUGGAGCGGCCGAUGUCAGAUUAGGUAGUUGGUGGGGUAAAGGCUCACCAAGCCGACGAUCUGUAGCUGGUCUGAGAGGACGACCAGCCACGCUGGGACUGAGACACGGCCCAGACUCCUACGGGAGGCAGCAGUGGGGAAUUUUGGACAAUGGGGGCAACCCUGAUCCAGCAAUGCCGCGUGCAGGAAGAAGGCCUUCGGGUUGUAAACUGCUUUUGUACGGAACGAAACGGCUCUGGUUAAUACCUGGAGCUAAUGACGGUACCGUAAGAAUAAGCACCGGCUAACUCUGUGCCAGCCGCCGCAGUAACAC
rnacentral:rRNA from 1 species